UACGUAGGGUGCAAGCGUUGUCCGGAAUUAUUGGGCGUAAAGAGCGCGUAGGCGGUCCGGUAAGUCCGCUGUGAAAGUCAAGGGCUCAACCCUUGAAUGCCGGUGGAUACUGUCGGGCUAGAGUCCGGAAGAGGCGAGUGGAAUUCCUGGUGUAGCGGUGAAAUGCGCAGAUAUCUGGAGGAAUACCGGUGGCGAAGGCGGCAUCCUGGACCGGCAUUGACGCUGAGGAGCGAAAGCUAGGGGAGCAAAGC
rnacentral:rRNA from 1 species